GCCGCUUUAGCUCAGUUGGUAGAGCAACUGAUUUGUAAUCAGUAGGUCGUUGGUUCGACUCCGACAAGCGGCUCCU
rnacentral:tRNA from 2 species